UGGGGGAUCGUCUAAUUGGCAGGACGGUGGACUCUGGAUCCACUAGUGGAGGUUCGAAUCCUCCUCCCCCAG
rnacentral:tRNA from 1 species